rnacentral:rRNA from 1 species
CCUACGGGUGGCAGCAGUGAGGAAUAUUGGUCAAUGGGAGAGAUCCUGAACCAGCCAAGCCGCGUGAGGGAAGACGGCCCUAUGGGUUGUAAACCUCUUUUGUCGGAGAACAAAACCCGGGACGUGUCCCGGACUGCGUGUAUCCGAAGAAAAAGCAUCGGCUAACUCCGUGCCAGCAGCCGCGGUAAUACGGAGGAUGUGAGCGGUAUCCGGAUUUAUUGGGGUUAAAGGGUGCGUAGGCGGUCCGUUAAGUCAGCGGGAAAAUUGCGGGGCGCAACCCCGGCGAGCCGUUGAAACUGGCAGACUUGAGUUGGCGAGAAGUACGCGGAAUGCGCGGUGUAGCGGUGAAAUGCAUAGAUAUCGCGCAGAACUCCGAUUGCGAAGGCAGCGUACCGGCGCCAGACUGACGCUGAGGCACGAAAGCGUGGGGAUCGAACAGGAUUAGAUACCCGGGUAGUC